GGGGCAGAGCUGCCGUGUGCCUCGUCACUGCCCCUGUCACCACCGUGCCCCCUGAGGGCUGCAGAGCCAGCAGCUUCACGGAGAGAAUCCGGCUGUUCGAGUUCUCGGAGAAAGCUGCAGCUCAGGGCUUCAUCUCUGAUCACAUAAACUCUUUCGAAGGCGAAGGAAGCCAUGGAGUGAUCCUAUUUUUAUACAGUUUACUUUUCUCUAGGACGUUUGAAAGGGUCCACGAGGAUUUGGGUGACACAGCUCCCCUGUUGAACGUCAGUUCUGGAAAUGUCACCUGCACAGAGGUAGGAUCGGCCACAUGUCUCAAGCGUUCUGGUUUUAUUAUUCCCACAUCUGAAAAAAUUAUCACGUGUUAAUUAAUCCAAAGAAAAAAAUAAGCGUGAGCUCAUUUUAAAAAAAUAUUUUGCUAUUUUAAUCAUGACUGUGCACUUAAAAAACAGAUGA